rnacentral:lncRNA from 1 species
UUAAUUGGGUUGAUCUAAUUUUGAUUUGGUUUGGGAAACCAAAUUAAAAUAAGUCAUAAGACAGAAUCCUAGUAAGACUAGGAUUCCACCUUGCGCCACAUAAGCCUUCUCCAUGCCCUCUCUCUUAUUCAAUGCCAAUCUUCACUUAUUUUGUGCGACAAAAGCCCUCUCCCAGAUCUCUCCCACGUUCACAAAAGGUCUCCUCUCUUCUUUCUUACAUGGAAGGUGGUUUGGAUCAAAUCUAAAAGGAAUAAGUUUGGAUUUCAAAUUCUAUGAGAUAGAGUUUUAGAAAUCCAAAACUCUUUCAAUUUUGCACCGAAUUUAUCCAAAUGUUUUUUGAAAUUUUCGUGGAUUUUAGGGUAUACAUUGUGAACCCUUUUCUAUUAAUCUAUGCAUGAAAAUAUGAAGGAGGUGCUCAAGAGUUGGGCGUCCCUUAACUUGCCAUGUUUGGAUAAGCCUUGACUGGGUGUUUGACCUAGACAAGGACUCUAUCAUAUCUCUCUAUAUAAGAUGAGUUUCUUUGUAAAAUUUUAGGAAAAGUCAGAUAUUUGAUAUACCUUUGUGCCAUCCAAAAAUCAGAGAGAAAUACCUUUGGGUCGUGGAGAUAUAAAAGAUGCAAGUUUGGGUGUCUAGAGAGAAAAACGUGAAGAAGAAGAGGGUCUUC